rnacentral:rRNA from 1 species
AUUGAACGCUGGCGGCAGGCCUAACACAUGCCAGUCGAGCGGAUGAAGGGAGCUUGCUCCUGGAUUCAGCGGCGGACGGGUGAGUAAUGCCUAGGAAUCUGCCUGGUAGUGGGGGAUAACGUCCGGAAACGGGCGCUAAUACCGCAUACGUCCUGAGGGAGAAAGUGGGGGAUCUUCGGACCUCACGCUAUCAGAUGAGCCUAGGUCGGAUUAGCUAGUUGGUGGGGUAAAGGCCUACCAAGGCGACGAUCCGUAACUGGUCUGAGAGGAUGAUCAGUCACACUGGAACUGAGACACGGUCCAGACUCCUACGGGAGGCAGCAGUGGGGAAUAUUGGACAAUGGGCGAAAGCCUGAUCCAGCCAUGCCGCGUGUGUGAAGAUGGUCUUCGGAUUGUAAAGCACUUUAAGUUGGGAGGAAGGGCAGUAAGUUAAUACCUUGCUGUUUUGACGUUACCAACAGAAUAAGCACCGGCUAACUUCGUG